AUACUUAACCUGGAAGGAGAGAUACCAUGAUCAUGAAGGUGGUUUUCUGAGGAUGAGGCUUAUCCACUGCACUUCCAAUGUGGUGACCCAAAUAUGGGAAACUCAGCUGUGUAGUGUGUGGUAGUGGGGGACUGCGUUUGUGUUCUCCCCUG
rnacentral:snRNA from 1 species